rnacentral:rRNA from 1 species
AAAGUGAAACUGCGAAUGGCUCAUUAAAUCAGCUAUGAUUUAUCGGGUGCACAGUUAUCUUACUUGGAUAACUGUGGCAAUUCUAGAGCUAAUACAUGCCUUAGUUAACUGGACUUCACGGCCAGUUGCAAUUAUUAGACCAAAAUCAACCGCUUUCGGGCGUUGUGCUUGGUGACUCUGGAUAAUUUACUAGAUCGUACGGCCUUUGUGUCGACGACUCACCCGAUCAGUGUCUGCCCUAUCAACUUUAGAUGGUAGGUUAACAGCCUACCAUGGUGAUAACGGGUAACGGGGAAUCAGGGUUCGAUUCCGGAGAAGGAGCCUGAGAAACAGCUACUACAUCCAAGGAAGGCAGCAGGCGCGCAAAUUAACCACUCCUGAUACAGGGAGUUAGUGACAAUAAAUAACGAUGCGGGACUCAAUCGAGGCCCCGUAAUCGGAAUGAGUACACUUUAAAUCCUUUAACGAGGAUCAAUUGGAGGGCAAGUCUGGUGCCAGCAGCCGCGGUAAUUCCAGCUCCAAUAGCAUAUAU